rnacentral:rRNA from 1 species
AUUGAACGCUGGCGGAAUGCUUUACACAUGCAAGUCGAACGGCAGCACGGACUUCGGUCUGGUGGCGAGUGGCGAACGGGUGAGUAAUACAUCGGAACGUGCCCAGUCGUGGGGGAUAACGUAGCGAAAGCUACGCUAAUACCGCAUACGAUCUACGGAUGAAAGCGGGGGAUCGCAAGACCUCGCGCGAUUGGAGCGGCCGGUGGCAGAGUAGGUAGUUGGUGGGGUAAAGGCUCACCAAGCCGACGAUCUGUAGCUGGUCUGAGAGGACGACCAGCCACACUGGGACUGAGACACGGCCCAGACUCCUACGGGAGGCAGCAGUGGGGAAUUUUGGACAAUGGGCGCAAGCCUGAUCCAGCCAUUCCGCGUGCAGGAUGAAGGCCCUCGGGUUGUAAACUGCUUUUGUACGGAACGAAAAGGCUCUGGUUAAUACCUGGGGCUCAUGACGGUACCGUAAGAAUAAGCACCGGCUAACUACGUGCCAGCCGCCGCAGUAA